CGAUAUCUAAACUACCAUCACAUAGAAGAGGGUUGCGGUCACGAUGAGCAUCACCGGGAUGAAACUGAUCUUCAUCCAGUUCCUCCUCCGCUCCCUCCUCUCUCCCGCUAGAUAGCGCGUGUAUUUAGCUUCCGCCUCCGCCCUAGUGGUGUACCCUUUGUAACUGUUACCGCUGAAACGGUGAACCUAUCUCCGACACUCCUCCCAGUC
rnacentral:lncRNA from 1 species